UGGAGUAUACAAUAAUGAUGUAUUUGAUGAAUCAAAUACAUGGUCUAAUAAUGAACCAUUUCAUUUUAACAUAACAUUGAAAUUAGUUGAUAAUAUUAGUUGAAUAUUUUUUUUCUUUUUUUUUAUUUUUAUUUUUGUCAAAGGUUUCAUUCAUGCAUAAUCUAUAUCGAGUAGACCUUGUCGUUGUGAGAAUUCUUAAUUCAUGAGUUGUAGGGAGGGACUUAUGUCACCACAAACAGAGACUAAAGCAAGUGUUGGAUUUAAAGCUGGUGUUAAAGAUUACAAAUUGAAUUAUUAUACUCCUGACUACGAAGUCAAAGAUACUGAUAUCUUGGCAGCAUUCCGAGUAACUCCUCAACCUGGAGUUCCGCCCGAAGAAGCAGGGGCUGCGGUAGCUGCCGAAUCUUCUACUGGUACAUGGACAACUGUGUGGACUGAUGGACUUACCAGUCUUGAUCGUUACAAAGGGCGAUGCUACCACAUCGAGGCCGUUGUUGGGGAGGAAAAUCAAUAUAUUGCUUAUGUAGCUUAUCCUUUAGACCUUUUUGAAGAAGGUUCUGUUACUAACAUGUUUACUUCCAUUGUGGGUAAUGUAUUUGGUUUCAAAGCCUUACGAGCUCUACGUCUGGAGGAUCUGCGAAUUCCCACUUCUUAUUCCAAAACUUUCCAAGGCCCGCCUCACGGCAUUCAGGUUGAAAGAGAUAAGUUGAACAAGUAUGGUCGUCCCCUAUUGGGAUGCACUAUUAAACCAAAAUUGGGAUUAUCUGCAAAAAACUACGGUAGAGCGGUUUAUGAAUGUCUACGUGGUGGACUUGAUUUUACAAAGAUGAUGAAAACGUAAACUCACAACCAUUUAUGCGUUGGAGAGAUCGUUUCUUAUUUUGCACCGAAGCACUUUUUAAAGCGCAGGCCGAAACAGGUGAAAUCAAAGGACAUUACUUGAAUGCUACUGCGGGUACAUGUGAAGAAAUGAUGAAAAGGGCCAUAUGUGCCAGAGAAUUAGGAGUUCCUAUCGUAAUGCAUGACUACUUAACUGGUGGAUUCACUGCAAAUACUAGCUUGGCUCAUUAUUGCCGUGACAACGGCCUACUUCUUCACAUCCAUCGCGCAAUGCAUGCAGUUAUUGAUAGACAGAAAAAUCAUGGUAUGCAUUUCCGUGUACUAGCUAAAGCAUUACGUAUGUCUGGUGGAGAUCAUAUUCACGCCGGUACAGUAGUAGGUAAACUGGAAGGGGAACGUGAGAUGACUUUAGGUUUCGUUGAUUUAUUACGUGAUGAUUAUAUCGAAAAAGACCGAAGUCGCGGUAUUUUCUUCACUCAAGAUUGGGUCUCUAUGCCAGGUGUUCUGCCCGUGGCUUCAGGGGGUAUUCAUGUUUGGCAUAUGCCUGCUCUGACCGAAAUCUUUGGGGAUGAUUCCGUACUACAGUUUGGCGGAGGAACUUUAGGACACCCUUGGGGAAAUGCACCUGGUGCAGUAGCUAAUAGGGUGGCUUUAGAGGCGUGUGUACAAGCUCGUAAUGAGGGACGUGAUCUUGCUCGUGAAGGUAAUGAAAUUAUCCGUGAAGCUAGCAAAUGGAGCCCUGAACUAGCCGCUGCUUGUGAAGUAUGGAAAGAGAUCAAAUUCGAAUUCGAACCAGUAGAUAAGCUAGAUAAAGAGAAAAAGUAAGUGUGCAUAAUUCAGUAAUUCCUGUUUGUUCUCCUAAUUGAUUGCAAUUAAAGUCGGCCCAAUCUUUUCCUAAAAAAAA